rnacentral:rRNA from 1 species
UUAGGACGAACGCUGGCGGCGUGCCUAAUACAUGCAAGUCGAACGGUCUUUCUAUGGAAGCUUGCUUCCACUGAGAAGAUAGUGGCGAACGGGUGAGUAACACGUGGGUAACCUGCCCAUAAGAGGGGGGAUAACAUCCGGAAACGGGUGCUAAUACCGCAUAGUUUUCUUGAUUGCAUGAUUGAGAAAGGAAAGACGGCCUUUGUGCUGUCGCUUAUGGAUGGACCCGCGGCGUAUUAGUUAGUUGGUGAGGUAACGGCUCACCAAGACGAUGAUACGUAGCCGACCUGAGAGGGUGAUCGGCCACAUUAGGACUGAGACACGGCCCAAACUCCUACGGGAGGCAGCAGUAGGGAAUCUUCCGCAAUGGACGAAAGUCUGACGGAGCAACGCCGCGUGAGUGAAGAAAAGGUUUUCGGAUCGUAAAACUCUGUUGUCAGAGAAGAACAAGUUGGAGAGUAACUGCUCCAGCCUUGACGGUAUCUGACCAGAAAGCCACGGCUAACUACGUGCCAGCCGCUGC